CAGGAGUCGAACAUUUGUGCGAGUGUUUGGGUGUUAAACCCUCACGCGUAAUGAAAGUGAACGGAGGUGAGAGCCCUCACGGGUGCAUCAUCGACCGAUCCUGAUGUCUUCGGAUGGAUUUGAGUAAGAGCAUAACUGUUCGGACCCGAAAGAUGGUGAACUAUGCGUGGAUAGGGUGAAGCCAGAGGAAACUCUGGUGGAGGCUCGCAGCGGUUCUGACGUGCAAAUCGAUCGUCAAAUCUGCGCAUGGGGGCGAAAGACUUAUCGAACCAUCUAGUAGCUGGUUACCGCCGAAGUUUCCCUCAGGAUAGCAGUGUUGUUCUUCAGUUUUAUGAGGUAAAGCGAAUGAUUAGGGACUCGGGGGCGCUUUUUUGCCUUCAUCCAUUCUCAAACUUUAAAUAUGUAAGAAGCCCUUGUUACUUAAUUGAACGUGGGCAUUCGAAUGUACCAACACUAGUGGGCCAUUUUUGGUAAGCAGAACUGGCGAUGCGGGAUGAACCGAACGCGGGGUUAAGGUGCCGGAGUGGACGCUCAUCAGACACCACAAAAGGUGUUAGCACAUUUAGACAAUAGGACGGUGGCCAUGGAAGUCGGAAUCCGCUAAGGACUGUGUAACAACUCACCUAUCGAAUGUGCUAGCCCUGAAAAUGGAUGGCGCUCAAGCGUCCCACCCAUACCCCGCCCUCA
rnacentral:rRNA from 1 species